AACUAGUGCUAAAGUGGGCUAGGUGAGCACAGAGCAAGCUUUUACCUUUGGACUUUAACCGCAGCAUCAAUGCUGGAAUCACAGCAGGAAAGCAACAUGAACACUUCCUAGCGAAGUGUGGUAAAAAGGAAACUAGCACUGCCAUGUGCCCUUAACCUCUCUGAGUUUCAGUUGCCUCAUCUGUAAAAUGGGGUUCAUUCAAGAAAUGGUUUCUGGUGGGGCGUUGUGGCACUUAACAGUUAUCUCAGGACUCAAGAAGCUGAGGCAGCCUGGGCUAUAUAGUAAGUUCACAGGCCAGCCUAACUACAUACUGCGACCCUGUCUCAAAAAAGCCAAGAAGAAAACAAGAAAAAAUAAAUAAAUGGUUCCAGGAUGUCUGCAUUGUGCCAAAAAACAUCCGUGCUGGGAAGGCCCAAAGGUCAGUGGUGGAAGCCAGAAAGUCUAUGCCAGCAGGGUGAAGGAGUUGUGCUGGUAAGUUGAGGGUUCUAUGCUGGAGCAAAGAGAUUAUGCUCAAAACAAAGACCAGGGCUGCCCUGAAAAGCACCACAGCCAUCCUCAAGAGACACGGAAGUGCCGAGCUCCACUGAUGAUAAGAACAGUCGAGUACAUGCCAGAGAGACAGCAUGAUGAGUUCAUCCUGGAGAUUAAACAGCACAGGUCUUCCCCUCUGGAGCCAGGAAGCGAUGCUCGAUGUAAGGAUCAGAGCUCCCCCAAAGUGAUCCACAGCCACCCUCACAAACAGGUCCCGAGCUCCUCCUUUGACAAUGGUCAAACUCACACUGGAGAAGCUAGUCAUGAUGAGCUCCUCCAUGAGAACCAACGGCUCAAACAGCAACACUUAGAGAAACUCACAACGCCUCACUCCUCCACAUCUCCAUUUAUGCUGGUAACUUCCCUCAGGUGGAAUAUUUACGCUCAUCACCAUACUGAUUUAAUUCAGCUGGCAUUAAGUUGACCACCAGCUUUUAAUCCAUAACACCACAGCUAUCAUAACAAACUGCUGCAAACAUAGUAACUUAAAAAAGAGAAACUUACUCUCUGGAGUUAUGAUAGAUAGCCAAUAUAGGUACAAAUAUUAUAAGCAGUCAGACAUCAUGAGGCUCUCAAAGGAAUCAGUACAGAGAGUGAAAACACGUUAUAAUUAUGGCCAGAGGUGCAUCUAUUGGAGCCAGGCCUCAAAGACAAAAUGACUAGGCCUACAAUACUUCCUGAGAGAUAAAUAAUACAUUAACAUCUGUCACCGACUUGAGUGGCCGAAACCCCUGAUGCAUCUCUUUUUAAGAUGGGUUCUUUCCAGGUACACUUGCUGUAUGGCUGCUCCCCACACUGGAUGAAUAUUACCUAAAUCGCUAAACUUGUCAUCUUAUUAGUUGAUCACAGUUUUGUCCUGCAUCAUACUCACUUUGUGAUUUUACAUUUGCCUUGUGAUUUUGCAGCCAUUUUGUGAUUUUGUUCUAUAAAACUUCUUUUGUAAAGUGGUGUCCAUGGAAACCCAUUUUCCAAUCCCUUCCUAUCUCUCUACAAGCUGAGAAAAUUCCUUAGAAUUUAUUCUUUGAUUCUGGGAAACACGAACUCGGUAUAUCAGACAUCACACAGCAGGUUUGGAGUUACAUUUAUUUUCCUAGUUCAUUUGGAGGACUCAGUGAGGUAAUUGGAAGACAGCAAGAAUUUGCUUUUGUUUCUUGGAUUUUGGAUUGUGACUCAUUUAGGUAAUCAGAAAUUGUCACUUAUUUGUCAAUUGCUUUGAAUUUUUAUGCAUUGCUUUUGUUAAAAUGAUGAUAAACCUAAUUUGAGAACAUGGGAAGAUUAUUAUGUUUCUUAGUUCGGACAUUUUAUUUCUGCAAACAAGAUAUUCCAGUUUUGCCACAUUGCCCAUAUGCUGUGUUUGGACUCACUAGUUGCUGAAUUUUCUGGUGUUCCUAGAUUCCACUGUUUGCCUUGUUAAACAACAUUGCUAGGAAAUGUAACGUUAAAGCAUCUCCUACUGGACUCUGAUACUAAUUAGAAUGUGCAUUUUAUGAAAUCUAGCUUAUAUUUUAUGAAAUCUAGCUUAUACAUGUAAAUAUGCAUGCCUAUUAAUAAAUCACAGAACUCCAUCUGCCAGUAGAAGGCAUAGGCCAGCAGCCAUUCUAAAGACUUGGAGGAUGGUAUCUCGCUAGGAUAGUCUGGCUUUACCCCACUUUAGAGCAGAUGCCAAACCUGUUCUGCUGGUUUCCUUUCUGGUCUGAUCUUCACUGGUGACCAGACAAUCUUAGUUCCUGAGAGUCCCCAUUCUUGCCUUUUCAGGAUGACUCGUGGGCAGUUUUUCUCAAUAACACCAUGAACAUGAUAACAAAGGGCUUUCUUUUUCUGAAAGGACUUUCUUUCGCCUUUCUGAUAUUUUCCUGUCACUUCAUACUUUCCUCAUUUGGAGGCAUAUUUCUGCUAAAGAUGAGAGAGGAAGAAACCCUAAACUAUCUGAAAGUUCCCCUUCCAUCCAACAGCUAGGACCUUUUAAGUUGAGCCCAUGGAGAAUGACCAUUUGCUAGUGCCAAAGACAGGAAAAUACUUUUGCUAAUGUAUAAAUUGUGUUUGCAGGAUGAUGAGUACAGCUUUUAACCUGUGAGCUUCAGGGCAGACAUAGAUACAUAGAAAUUUUAAAAUGCAUUUUGAGUAACAUUUAGCCUUGUUUUGUUGCUAAGGAAGGUUGCCUGAGUGAUUACACAGACACAAAAGUCCAGGAAACUUCUUUGCUCUAGGACCCAAAGUAGGAUUUUUCUGAGUCGUUACUUGCCUCUGUCUAUCUCCAGAGUGAUCUCUUACAGACUGGGAGGUGCUCCACCCACUUCCAAUCUGCCCUUUGCUAUUUUUCCCCUUCUAUUUCAAAGAAUUGAAAAUCAGUUUUUCAUGUCUCUUGAUUAUUGGUUGAAUUUUGCUAGCAAUGUCUUCUUCUUUAAACAUGACUGUUACAGCUGGAAUCAAUUAUAGUAUAUGCUUUUAAAAACAUAUGCCAGAAAGUAGGGGGACACAUCAGUAAGGUUGGCUAAGCUGGCCCCAUCUAUCUUCUGGUCACUGUCCUGAUAGCAGCCAUCUGCCCUGGAGAAGGUCACCUCAGAUGACACCUUGAGAGAAUAUAGAAAUAACACAGAAAUUAAAAGAGAUACCGAUCUUUCCUCUUGUGUUACAGAUCGGAAUUCAGUGUUGAAUUCUCUUACUCCUUUGGGAUGUAUUUUAAGCACUAGAAAUUAUUUGACCCUGGUGUUUUGAGAAGGGGUUGCUAAAUAUUUUUCUGCACCAUCAGGUGGCCAGCCCAUCCCACAGGGGCAGAGCGGAAUGCAGAAGGAAAUAUUGACUAUGGUGCUAUUUCACAACUAGAACCGUACUGAGAGGAAAAAUGGUCAGAAAUACCUUAUGCUCAGAUGUUCUUUGCAUUAAGAGAUAAUCCUUGUGUUCAAAAUGUAAAUGUAAGCCACAGGAAAAUCAGACACUUCAGGGCCUUACGGUGCAAUCAGAUGCAUCUACUAUUACUGAGCCUACAAACAAGGUUUCCAAAGCAACCUCAAUCAAAGCUGCGUCCUGUUACCAAGCCUGAGCCCAACCCCCACCACUUGCCCUUCAGACCCUAAAAGGUGAGUCUAAGCCAACUAUAACUGCAGCUUCUGCUGGAAUAUAUCCAACUUUAGCUGAUUUUCUUCAAGGACAACAUCCAUUACAGGAAGUAAAUGACAAGUAUGGCACUACCUGUGUCCAUGUGUCCUUUUCUUUCAAUGAUCCCAAACUAGAUCUAGGAAACUUUUAAGAUAACCCUGACUAAUACAUUGAGGUCUUUACAGGACUUACUAAAACCUAUGAACUGUUGUACUCUAAGAAAGUAGCUUCAUCAUUUUGUGUAUUAUAGCAAACCUGCAACGUGGCUUACUAAAUGUGUUUUUUUUUUAUCCUUUUUUCCUAACUGAUAUGUUAAGUGACCUAAUUGAUAUGUUGAGCAAUACUCUCCUCUGUAAAGAAUUGCAAGAAUUUCACUUAAUUGAUAUGUUAACCAGAGCGGCCCUCUACAAACAAGAAGAGUGAUGCUAAAACAAGCUAACAAGGGUUGUUAAUCACGGUUAGGCGCCUCUAUUCUUUGCUAAAGAGCUAAAGAAGACUAGGAUGGCCCACUAAUUUGCACUUGUUUGAAGUAACUUGUUUAUAUGCAGGGAGAUUUGCGUAUGAGUUUAACCUUUUUACCUAACCUUGGUUCCCUUUCCCACAAGAUAGAUACCCGCCGUUUUCCUGUUCUGUAGCGCACCUUAUUGCCUCCCCCUACCCACCUAUCUGGGCCAUAAAGAAUUUGCGUUUCUGGUGACCUCUUCCCAACCCGGUGAUGAUCUGUCAUAAAAUGAGCCUGCCCCAAUUUUAAGAACUGCUUAGCUUAAAAGAAAUUACCGAGUAAUACUAUGGCCCAAACCCCGAUGGGUGCUUUCCUUUUGUUCUGUAUGUAUCAAAUGAGUUAGAUAUCAGAUCUUUAUAAAACUUAAGUUUCAGCGUCUUGUAACUCGUGACCCCUUCGCACUCACUAGCAAAGACGAGCUGUCCUGGGAUAAUUAACUCUCCACUUUCUUCUCCAAAUAUUGCUGCAGACGUGCCACUCUGAGAUAAUGUCAGUCUGCAGGAUGGGAGUAAUUUGAGGAAAGGAACACCAGGAACUCCCGAGAUUGUCAGAGCUAAGUGGACAGCAAUACAGUUUCCAGAUGCAGGUCAAUAGGUUUAAUGGCCUUGCAGGAUCCCCCCACAACUUUCCCUUACUUUUAAAAACCCCUUUUCCCAGUCUUGGGGUGCGCAGUCUUUGGCUUGAUCCGGGAGAGACUGUGCCGCCAGGACUGGCUCAAAAAAGCCUUUGCUACCUAAAUUUUCGGACUCUUGUUUCCUCGAGUUUUAUACUGGGGCCCGAGUUAUAACAUGAACUAGUCUGGAAAGAUGCAAUGUUACUCUUAAAUCAACCAUUGACUUUUAAGGAGAGACAAGCAGCAGUACACGCUACAAUUACAUUUGACGAUAAAUAUAUUGCCAAUUUUAGGAAGACCAAAAGACAGGCAGCCAGGGGGUGAGCUAGUUUUCACUGGAGCCCAAGCAGUGGCUGCAGAAGAUCCCAACCACAUGGGAGAUUGAAAUAGAAGUCAUCUUUAGACACAUAUUCUUCUUUUUUCAUUUUUUUAUUUUAAAAAGCAAAACAGAAAAAAAAAGGAUAGAAAUGAUAAGAAUUUCAAAAAAAAGUAGAUAAUUAACACUAGUUAAUGUAUUGUACAUUGUUAACUCAGCACUAGUUCAGGCCACAAAAUCGAAAUACAAAAGUGACCAAUCAAAGACAACACAAAGUGUUCCUUUUGAUUAACUAAGAGAGACUAGGAGAAUAGCUAUCUCUCUAGCAUACACAUACAUACAUACAUACAUUUAUAUAUGUUCACCCACACACAUAUAAUCUUUUCCUUUCUUCCUUUUUUCCUUUCUCCUAUCCCAGUAGUUCUGUCCUUCUGAGCACUUUCUUUCUGUUUCAUUAUUACAAUAUCUAUUGUAUAUUUUGGAUCUUAUUACUCUUUCAGGUUUUUAUUUUUUUAUUUUUUAUAUCAGAGGGACAAUGUGAUAUUUAUAAAUGUGAGUUUGAUUUAUUUCAUGUAUGAGUAUGGUCUCAAGUUGCUUCCAUUUACCUAUAAAAGCCUCAAGAUUAUCCUUUUUAUAGCUGAAUAACAUUCCAUUGUAUAAAAAUACCACAUCUUUUUAACCACUCUGCAGUUAAUGGGCAUUUUCGUUGUUUAUGAGAUUUCUCCAUUACAAAUUGUGCUGCUAUAAACAUGGGUACACAUAUAUCACUGUGGCAUGGCAUUUUCAUUUUUCUGGGAAAAUACCAGAAGGGGAAUAGUUGGAUUAAAUGGGACUUCCAACACUAGUUUUUGGAGGCAUCUCCACACUGAUUUCCACAGUGGUUGCACCAGUCCACUCUCCCACCUGCAGUGGAAAAGCCUUCCUUUUCCCCACAGGCCCGCCAACAUUUGGUAUCAGUUAAUUUCAUAAUGGCUGCUCUUCUUUCUGGAGUGAGAUGGAACUCCAAUGUUGUUUUUAUUUGCAUUUCUUGAAUGACCAGGGUGUUGAGCAAGUCUUCAUGUAUUUAUAUGUAUUUCUUCGCCUGAGAAAUGUGUAUUUAUUUCAGAUGCCCAUUUUUUGAUUGGAUCUUUCAAUUUGGGGGGCCUGAUGUUUUCCAGUUAUUUAUACGUUCUAGAUAUAAGUCAUUUGUCUGAGGGACAGCUGAAUAAAAUUUUUUCCCAUUCUCAGGUGAUUUCUUAAAUACAAAAACUUUUUAAUAAGAUGAGAUCCCAGUUUUUGAUUCUGUAAAGUACUUUCCAUGUGGUUUGCAUUUUGUUCAUGGACUCUUUGCCUACCCCUAUGUCUUCAAGAUUUCUACCUACUUUGUUUUCCAGUUGAUUUAGUGUUUCUGUUUUAUUAUUUAGAUCUUUGAUCCAUCUGGAUUUUAGUGCAUGGUGAUAAACAUGGGUCUAGUUUCAGUCCUCAGCAUAUGAAAAGCCAAUUUUUCCAACACCAUUUAUUAAAUAGGUUAUCUUUGGUCUGGUGAAUAUGUUUAGCCCCUUUGUCAAAGAUAAGGUGGCUAAGUUAGAUAUGUAUUCUUGAAGGUCUAAAAAAGACAAGAACUGAGUUCAUCAAUUUUUUUUAAAUUGUCAACUAUUCAUUGGGAGAAAAAUGAACACCUCUGCAUUCUUAGGACAUUUACAAGAAUAGAUAGAUGAAACAUGGCUCCUGUUCAAUAGAAGGGCAGAUUAUUAUUAAAGACAAGUUUAUUACCAGUCAGCCUGAGUUACUAGAAAAAGCCACAAAAGAUGGCUUUACUGCAGAUAGCUCCCUUGAUACUGUCGUGAGAACUGCCGCCUCAGUAUUUUAUCACUGAGACCAGGAAUAACCAGGAGAAAACAAAGAGACCAAGAGAAAGUGACUACCUUGGUUAGAACCUCAGGGUGAUUCUCAGGUCCCCAAGAAGAACUCGAUGACUAAAUCCACCUGCCACCAGUGUGGAAAGCCAGGUCACCUUAAGAGGGACUGUGAUUAAAAACCAUCACUAGAAGAGGCUGUAGUGCCAAUCCACCCCGUGGUACCCAACCCACACACUCUCUUUUCUCAGAUCCUAGAAAAUGCCCAUUGGUUUCAGUGUUACAUUUAAAAGAUGUCUUCUUUUGUAUUACUUUACAUACAGAUUCCCAGCUUCUAUUUGUGUUUGAAAAUCCUCACGACCAGGCCCGUCAGCUGACUUGGAUUAUGUUUCCUCAAGGGUUCAGAGACAGCCUCAUCUUUUUGGACAAGUGCUUUCCCAUGAUUUGGCAUGUUUUAGGUUUUCCCAAGUCACAGUCCAGCAAUAGGUAGAUGAUACGCUGUUACAUGCCCCCUCAGAAGAGCUCGCUAGUCAAGGCCCUUAAGCUUUGCUAAAUUUUCUAGCAGACAGAGAUCAUAAAGUCUCUGGGUCUGAUGCACAAAUCUGCACCUUGAGGUAAAAUAUUUGAGAAAGAGAUCCACUGGCUGUCAGAUAAUUUUUUUUCACAUGGCUGCAUGGGCAACUAAUGCUAGGAAAGCAUACUUUGAAUCAGUAUAAAUAUUAAUGAAUAGACACAUCUCAAAAGAAGAAAUACAAAUGGCCAAUAACCACAUGAAAAUAUGUUCAACAUGUUUGGCCAUUAGACAGAUGCGAAUUAAAACAACACUGAGAUUUCAUCUGCCUCCCCAAAGAAUGGCUACCAUUAAGAAACAACAAUAACAAAUGCCAAUGAGACAGCAGGGGAAAAGGAGCCCUUCUACAUUUUGGGGGGAAUAUGAACUAGUACAAACCUAUGUAAAUCAAUACAGAGAUUUCCCAAAAAGUAAAAAUAGAAAUUCUGUUUGACCCAAUGAUUCCUUAUCCAUGAAUCUUCCCAAAAGUGUUGAGGGCAUCAUAUUAUAAUGUCAAUGCAUACCCAUAUUUACAGCAGCAGAAAUGAUAACAUCUAAAUCUUGGAAGUGCCCUAUAUGUUCAUCAACACAUGGAUGAAUAAAAAAAAAAUGUGGCAUUCGUA